GGUGAGCAGGGGCCUGGAGCGGGAGGCGCGGCUGAUGCGAUACCGGGAGAAGCGCAAGAGCCGGCGGUUCGAGAAGACGAUCCGGUACGCGUCCCGCAAGGCGUACGCGGAGACGCGGCCGCGCAUCAAGGGCCGGUUCGCCAAGCGCACGGCCGGGGCCGGAGCGGACGGGGAGGACCCGCUGGAGGAGCACGAGGAGGAGAUGUACUCCUCCGCCGCGGCCGCCGUGGCCGCGCUCAUGGCCCCCGGGGGCGCCGACGGCGACUACGGCGUCGUGCCCACGUAUUGAUCGGUGCAGGUGCAGCGAAACGCAACGCCGACAUGUUGUACACUAGCUAUAGCCUCGACCUUUGGGUUGGGGCUGUAAUUUUUGCUGCAUGCUUUGCAUGCAAAGCUGUCGCGUAGCAUUGAUUACCUGUAUGAUUCCACGGAAGCCAUGAGGACUUCCAGGCUGUCUUCAUCCCUGAUCAUUCCAUCAUAUAUGUAUAUUAUCAUCUGCUGCUAAUCUGCAACUGUAAUUUUUGGUAAUCACUAGUCAGAUGGUUGUGUUAACUAAGGGCAUGUUUGAUGGGAUAGAGAUUAUGUAAAUUUGGAUUGUGGAUAGGGAUUAAUAAAAAGAUGGAUAUUAAAAAAUACGGGUCUCUCGUUAUUUGUUUUAGCUUUUCUAGGUGCAUAGCAUAAUCUAUGAAGUGGUGGAACCAGGUGUUUUCUUUGUGGUGACAUAUAGUCUAGACUAGGCAUUAUUUGCACUACUGGAAAACUGAGCUUUCGUCCUGAAACUCAGUAUCAGUUGCAUUUUGACCCGGUACUAAUGUGAGCAUUAGUAUCGGGCCUAAUGGAUAGUCCCCGAGGAGCCUCCCGUGACCCCCUUUAGUACCGGGUGGAACUCCCACCCGGUACUAAAAGCUCCCAUCCCGCUCACCCGGCCACCUUAUCCACCCGACCACUCUCACAGCAACUCUAUCUCUCACCCGGCCACUCUCACCCGGCUACUCUUAUCCCGUAUCCUCCCCUCCUCUAUCUCUCUCUCUCCUCUCUCUCUCUCACAGCAACUCACUCCUCUCCUCCUCUGUCUCCCCUCCCCUCCCCCCUCCGCUCGCCCCUCACCGGCAGCGAGGAGCAGCAACGGGGUGAGGUGAGGGGGCGGCGGGGCGCGGGGAGGAGGGCAGCGGGCGGCGGGAGGGGGCAGGGGCUGGCGGCGGGAGGGGGCGGGGGCUGGCGGGGAAAUUUCUUUUUUUUAAUACCCCUUUAGUACCGGUAUGGUCCCCUUAGUAUCGAACUAGUAGUACCGGUUGCGAAACCGGUACUAAAGGGGUUCCCAACCGAUGGUGAUGGGGCUUUUCCCAGUAGUGUUAGUAGGGUUUUGGCUCCACCGACUCUGACUCUUAUGAGGCAGUGAAGUAAAAAAUAUUGUCUUCACCGGUUUCUAUUUAAUUUUAAGCACAGUGUUUUGCUAUAGGUAUAAAGGUUCUUUGGAACUGGAAGCCCUAAAUGGGCAUGCUUUUGCAGACACGAUGAUAUCCUCACCAUCGGGGAACGGUGCUUGAGGGCGGGGCAAGAGACAGGAGAGCAAGGGCUGUACGGAUCAGAAUCCAUCGUUAGACCAUGCUAAAAUUCAGGCGCCCGAGUUAUGGCAUCACCCAUAUUUUUUGCCUAGACUUCGAUGUUCGAUGCAAUUGUGGUUUUGUUCCACGUUAGGUGAACAAACAAUAUAUUUUUCUCUUAAUAAAAAAUACACCGUUCUCCUGCUUAUUCGAGAGAAAAAAAGAAAAAUUUGUUCGAUGUGACGGAGCAGCUCUACUUUCCUCGAAUAGCAAAGCAAGUAGCCAAGCACUAAGCAAAAGAAGGAACAAAACAACAGUCCCAUCGCCAAAAAAAAGAAAGAAAAGGCGGAGCAGUUUCUCCAGCUUAUGGGCCGGGCCGAUCUGCGCGGGAAAACCACAACCCGUCGUGAGGCUUCUAAAUCUCCCAAGCCCGGCCUGCCCUUCGAAUCCAGCCUACAUCACCUCAUCGUGACAGAGGAGGAAAAUCUGCAUCCUUCACAGUUCACACACUUCACAGGCAGCUGCCCCCAAAACCCAAGCCAAACCCAGCCAUGCCGCCGGGCGCAGCCCCCACCCUGUUCGGCCUCACACCCCCGCAUCACCUCUGCUCCGGCCUCCAAUUCCUCCCCCCCACCGCUUCCGCCGCCGCCUCCCCCUUCCGCUGCAGGUCCGUAUCUUUCGCUCCGCCGUUCACCAGACCCAGACCCCGCGCCGCGGCCGCUGCCAUCCAUGCCUCCGCGCCCGCUUCCGAUUCCUCAUUCCCCUCCUCCCCGACCCCGCCGGCGCGGCCACCAGGCCCACCGGAGCCCCCCUCCACCGUGGCCCACGCAGGCCGCAGCAAGAAGAAGAAGAACCCCCAGGGGGGUGGCGGCGGGGGCCGCAUCGAGGGGAGCGGGGACAUGCGGCGGGAGGCCAAGGCGAAGGCGCGCGUCCGCAGCCGCCGGAUGGGCGAGAACGCCUUCUACCGCCGCAAGCGCCGCGCUGCGGCGGCGGCGGCCUCGGGCCAGGCGGACACCUUCACCGACGCGGAGCUCGAGAUGAUCGGGAUGGGGUACGACCGCGCCGUCCGCUUCAUGGACGGGCCCGACGACCCGCGGCUCCGCCACCCGCACGACUGGUACAAGUACGGCCGCUACGGGCCCUACCACUGGCGCGGCAUCGUCGUGGGCCCGCCCAUCCGCGGCCGCUUCUCCGACGACCGCGUCUCGCUCAUGGAGGAGGUCCACGACCACGAGGAGUGGGACCGCAUCGAGCAGUUCGACAUGUGCAACCAGUUCUCGCACCGACUCAACGACCUCGCCGACGGCGUCGGGUUCCGGUACUACUGGGUCUUCGUGCGCCACCCCAGGUGGCGCCCCAACGAGAAGCCCUGGGAGCAGUGGACGCUCUCGGCCGAGGUCGCCGUCCAGGCCGGCAAGGAAGAGCGGCUUGAUAAGUGGAGCCUUAUGGGCAGGUUUGGCAACCCGACGCGCGAGCUCAUCACGCGAUGUGCGGCCUGGACGCGCCCUGACAUCAUAUACGUCAAGCGGCCGCUGUACCAGUCGCGAUUUGAGCCGCAGGAGGAUUUCUUCAAGAAGCUUCGCCCGUUGGUUGAUCCUGCCACGGAGGGCAAUUUCUUGUUUGAAUUUGAGCUGGAUGGUCAGGUCAUUCGAACAACCUACUUUGGUGGUCUCUGCAGGAUAGUGAAGGCCAACCCGAAGGCUUACGUUGAUGAUGUUGUGAAUGCUUACUCAAGGCUGAGCGAAGCCGACCAGUCACGAUGCCUGGAAUUCCUGCUCACAAACCAUCCUAUGGAGCUCCUGCAUCCUUAUACCAAGGAGUGGAAGGUGAAACUAGAGGAGAUGGAGCUUGGAUGUGAUGCGCCUGAUGAGAGUGAUGAUGAUGUCGGUGAUGACGAUGAAAUAGACAUAGUUGAUUGGAUCAAGGAUGAUGAGGCUGAUGAUGUUGUCGAUGGUGGAUACAGUGAUUAUGAGGAUGAGGAUGUGGUCGAUACCAAUGAGGAUUUAGAAGCAGAUGAAGUUGUUGAAAAUAGUGGGGACAGUGAAAAGUACUGGGAUGAGCAGUGGAAGAACGCCAUGAGAAGUUCUGAUAAAAUGGAGAAGCUGGUCAAGACAAGCAUUGAGGCAUCAAAUGAGCGCAUUGAGCAGCAGAUGGAAUUUGAGAAAGAGAUGGAAUGGAAAAUGGACAGAGCAAAUGCAAUGGUUAUGGAGCAGGAACAAACUGAGGAAGAUGAGGAGGAGCAGGAGACCACAAGGAGCAGAAGUGCAGAGGAUGGAAGUCAGAGUGAUGCAAACACAGGACUUUUCCUAAGGGCCGCUGUCCGGCCAUUCACUUACAGGAAUCUUGUGAAGGAAAUUGUCCUGUUGAGACACCAUAUUAUUGAUGGUGAGAUAGUUUAGUUUCAAUAUGAUACGAUGCUGUAUUCAAUUUUCCAGAGUAGCUAUUUCACCAGACAAAUGCAAGAUUGUAGGAAGGAGGUAUAAGAAACCCUUUGUGAUCUGUUGGUUCUGUACAAUAUUAGGGAUAUUGAGCUGUCGUUGACAAUUUCUGAAGUUGUAUUCUUAGGCAAUAGUAGUAAUCAUGUAAUACUUAUCAAAAAGUUUAAUGAGCCUCCAUCCAGAAUAGAAACUAUUAUAUUUCUGAUGGGCUGUUCUUCAUAAAUGGAGUUGAGCUUUUCAGAUUGGAAAGGAUAAAUACUUUCUUCAUAUGGAGUUGAGCUUUGCCUUCUGAUGAGGGAUUGUUUUUCAUUUGUCUGGUUAUGACACCAGUCUGAUAUAAUGAAAUCGUGUGACUGCAUGCCCAAUUUCUCCUAGCAUAGUAAUAUCUAAAGCCGCACCACUGCAAAUUAGGGUGUGAUGACAACUCCAAAGAUGCUCUAUUAUCAAAAUGACAAAUCCAAAUGGAAAUCCAAGCUAACGACAUUGCUUAUCCAUUAAAAUGAUUAUUUGUUGCCUUUAGAGAGAAAACGAUUAUGCGGUUCAAUGAAUACCUGAUGUGCUUGCUCAAUGCACACAUGUUUAAACCUGCUGUUAGUUCUCUGGUGCCCAUCUUAUUGCUGUGAAGAACUACAAGAUAUGUUAGGAAUUAGUUUAUUAUCCAACUUCAAUAAUGGCUAUCUUAUCUUGAAGCUAUAAGUAUGAAGUUUUAGCUGAGUUAUCAAAUGAGUUUUUUCCCCCCUCCUGAACAUCUACCUCAGUGCGUAAUGAAUUAAUUCUCCAGCAAGGCCGCAACUAGUGUAGCAGGAAUUGACAUUCCAUUUUCCUUUAUCAAUCAAAAGAUUGUUCAAAGCAGUGACAAGAAUUGCAUGCCGACAAAUUAACAUGAUUUCAGCUUCCCUUGGAAAUUUCCCGUGAGAGCCUUCGAGAAUCUGCAGCCCCUACUUUACAUUCAAAAGGAGUUGUAAAGAGAAGAUACUGAACUCCUAUAAUCCUAUCCUUGAUCAAAAGGUCCCUUGCCGUGAUAAAUACAUAUAAUUUUAUCUAGCAAAAUUUUCAAAAGGAGAAUGAUUAGCAGACAGGAUUAGAGGCCUACACAUGAGAUUAGAAUAAAUAAGGGAUAAGAGGCUUCACUUGGAAUGUUCUUUAGACAACGGUAGAUGGGAAAGAUUAACCAAAUUCUGGGACAAAAAACUAGCAUUAAAGUCAUAGCUUUGCUUUAGGUUUGAUAUUUACACCAACUGACAGGCACCACUGUUCUGUUGCCCUCUCUGUAGAUUAGGAGAAGCAAUAUUAUGAGCCGCUCAACUAUUCCUCAACAACGGCAGCUGCUUUGGAUCAUCUGCAAACACUAUUCCACUUCCAAAUCAUGCUGCCAUCUCUUGAGGGACUGAUGACUAAUAAUUCACCGCUAAUUAAAUUCUUUCAUGCUCUAUGCCAGAGCCAAUUAUUCCAUAUGGGACAACCCUGGCACGGUUGCUGGAAGCAUCACAGGUUCGGUUCUUCACUUCAGCCUUUGAAGCAUUCACUUUUAUAACCACAGUGAUAUUCAAAACUGAAAAAAAUCCUACAAGGCAUAAUUUUACAUGCUUUGGCACCUUAUUUUGAAGACCAGUCAUGAUUUCUGGGACUUAAUGUUAUACAGUAUAUUGAUUUGCUUCUAGCAUUUUCAUGUUUACUAACAUUGGACAGGGAUUGAUGUGAGACUGGGACCCCUUGGCAUCACCAUAUUGUUCUUCCGCUACAGUUUGCUACAGCUUGAGAUUUUCUGUUUUUUUUAAGGGAAGAGAUCUUCCUUUUGAAACCCAGUGCACUGAACAUCCACUAGAUGCUUGUGCUCUGACGUUAAGAGAUACUACGCUACAGGUCACAAUCUACGACCCAUUAGGUAUACGUCUACACUCCAGCAUUGCAGUAUUGCACGCAUGGCAAUGAUGCCCGAAAGUUCCGAAACAUUGUAUGGAUGACACCCUCAUCCUGCUGCCUUUUUCUGUUUUUCUAUUAUUUGCACUAGUGGCAGCCCAACAUCUCAUGUUCUCUUCGCCUUUUUACUCGAUUUGGUUUACAAUAAAAUACAUCGGAUCAUUGCACUGAAACGCUAAGCAUCUCCUCUUUGCAGCAGUUUUUUUGGUGGCAACAAUAUAAAAUCCAGCACCGAAAAGUGUGUGCUCAAACUCCUCAAUGUUCUAGGACAGUUACUAUGCUGCAAAUUUUCUAUUGUAAAGCCUACGAGGUCCCCCCCUUUUGAUUCCAUCUUCUUUGUGUGCAGCUAAAGCAUUCUUGAAGCUCAUGAUCUACUCCACUCCUCUUCCUCCCAAAAAGCCACUAAUAUGCUUGUUUAUUUGGUACUUAUAGUUUUUUUCUCACUGCCUUUCUCAGUGACACCUGUACUGUUUCAGGUUUUUUACAGCUAAAAGUUGGUUCUAGUGGUUGGAGCUAUCCUAGUGAUUCGAUCAAGGAUCUGGUUCUCCUACUGAGACAUUCUCUGCGGCUGCAGGUUGCGCAUCAGAAAGACAGAGAGGCUACACCUGCACAGCUACCAAGAGUGACAUCUACUCGUCCACUAUAAAUCUCUGACCCUUGCCUUUCCUGAGCUGCUUCUGAGGGAAUUAGCUUGGCUUCUGCCCUGCCUUGGCCAUGGAGCCGGACAGAGGCCUAGUUGCCUACGAGGAGCCGCCUCCAGAGUCGACGGACCUGCUCUCGAGCGCGUGGUGCAGCUCGGCUAUCCAAGUUCUUCAGACAGGACCCAAGGAGUGCUCGAUGGCGUUGGUGGAGCAUCCGGUCAUGUCGCUUGACCGGAAAGACCUGUUGUCAGUAAGUGUACAUUCAGUAACUGUAGCAAAUGUUUUGUCAGUGUAUUGUGCUGGGGAUGAAAUUUGAGGUGUGUAACAAUUUGCAGAAAAGUAAUCGUAGCUUGGUGGUUGACAACAGCAGUUUCAGCACGGCCCAAUGGAAAUAUGACGAUCUGAAGGUACAUAACUGUGUGAUGGGAUGUUCAUUUGCAAACUCGUUUUAACCUGACCUCGAGUGCGUGGCUUUGGCGUUCUUCCCUUUUCAGUCAUGGAUAUGGCUGCAGAAGGCAAUUCAUCCCGAACUGGAUUAUGAUCUCUGCCUCAAGAAGAAAUGGGUGAGUGAUAGAAACCGUAUUGUUGAUGGGUCAAAGCCAGUGCUAGUUCUGUUCAUCUCUGAAGUUACACUAACAUGCAUCAUUUCCUGCAACACAUACUGUACAACUUGAAAUUGCACGGAGAUGUUUUGCAGGCUCUCUUCUCAAUCCUUCUGAGUUCUGAUUAAUCUUGAGUUCUUUAAGGAUUUUUUUGUGAUCAUGAAAUUUGGUCAUGUACUAAUCCAUUGGUUUUGGUAGUACUUCUGGGCCGGCCAAUAUGGUUCAGUCUGUUACACAUUCUGAGUAGCAUGUUCUGGGAAAGAUAACGAUCUGAUUAGGAUGUUAUGAUCAGCCAUAUCUCGUUUCCAAUCUUCCUUUUCUAAAUCCUUAGUACACAGCGUUUUAUUCCGAGAUACGCAUCAACGGAGAUCAAGGAAAUGAUGAGAUGUGCUGCUAUUUAUUUGUGAAUUGUGAUGGCUUGCCAGAUCUUACAAUUCUGAACUUUGCACGCAGCUCCCGCGCAAGAUGGCGCCAUGGAACGGCAUCUCGCUCAAGAAGUGGGUCAAGGAGCGGAAGCAGAAGCGGAAGGAGGAGGCGCGCCUGCAGCGGGCGGAGGUCCACGCCGCGGUGUCCGUGGCCGGCGUCGCGGCCGCGCUCGCCGCCAUCGCCGCCGAGAACGCCGCGCCGCCGGGCGCGGCGGGGAUGCGGGAGACGGCGGUGGCGUCCGCGGCCGCGCUCGUGGCGGCGCAGUGCGCGAAGGUGGCCGAGGCCGCGGGCGCCACGAGGGACCAGGUCGCGGCGGCCGUCGACGCCGCCAGGGCCUCCACGGACGCCAGCAACGUCAUCACGCUCACGGCGGCCGCCGCCACGUGUACGUGCCCGUGCCCGCCCACACUGUUCUUCUUCAGACCGCAUCGUUGCGCCGCAACGACUUGAAAAGAAUUCCUGGGAGUAACUUUAUUUACUUUCGUCGGACAUGUCGCAGCGCUGCGCGGCGCCGCGACGCUGAGAGGACGGCGCUGCGGCAGCGGCGGCGGCGGGCACGGCCCGAACGAGAGAGGGGACCACCACACCGGCCCGGCGCUGUCGCAGGACGACCUCGACUUCGACUUCAACCACGCGAGGUCCCGGGCGGCGCUCGCCAAGGGCGACGAGUUGUUCGUCGCGAUGCCGGACGGUGAGUGCCGCCAUGUACUCCAUUUCCACGCCACCAGUCGCCGCAUGCAUGCGAAACUGAACACGCGUCGCGUUCUCUUGGCACACGACGAUGACAUGGGUUGCAGGGAAAUGGAAGCUCCACACGGUGUCCGCGGCGCCGAACAAGCGCGGCGAGAUCGUGCUGCGGAUCAAGAAGACGAACCUGGUCAUGGCCUUCUCCCACGCGAAAGAAAGUAAUAACGAGCAGCAUCUGUCCCGUUCCCUGUCUCGCCUGUUUUCUUGAUCGAUCAGUUGAUCGGACAGACCGAACUGACCAGCCACCUGCCCAUGCGCACCCGCAGGCGUGAUCCGCGACGUGCGCCCGUGCGCCCCGGAGAAGCCGAGCCCGGACGAGGGCGCGACGUACCCGGUGGAGGUGUCGACGAGCAAGGGCAAGGUGGAGCUCCGCGCCGACGACUACGGCGUGUACAAGCGGUGGGUCGCCACGCUGAGCCACAUGCUCGUCAUGUCCACCGCCGUGGUCUCCGCCAGGCACGAGCCGCCGCGCCGGGACUGACCGAUCGGCCGGCCGGCUGGCGCCGCGCACGGCACGAACGGCAUCCUCCCGUGCCGACGACCGCACGCGUGUCGAUGCCAUUGUAUGAUUGUAUCUGUAUACAGUAUUUACUAGCACCUAUCAGAGAUUUGUGUUCGCGGUUUCAUUCCCAUGAACUUGACGUUGCCGUGGCACUACCCGUUCGGCGAACGAUUCACCAACUGGACUAAAAGAGACAUGUUAUUGACGAUGCCCCGUGAAAGGUGACGCUCUUACCCCGCGAGAAAAGGGUGAAAGAAUGGCGACGAUCUCAUCUCUGACUCUGAUUUUUUAAGGGUACGGACGCAUACGACCAACGCACUCUAUACUCAUACCACACGUACAUACACGUGCGCGCGUCCAUACACACACCUAUAGAACAGAUUGAGAGAUCUAAACAUACAGUGCACACAGGAAACGGUAGUACCACUUACGCGCACGCGUGUGUAUCCUAGCGAACUCAGAACUAAUCUGAGCGCAACUAGGAAAAACCUCCGAUGAAGCACCUAGGUCCGAUCCUAGAGAUUGAACCCGAACGGAUUGGACGAACACCCUCGCCAGCAGCCACCCGACGGUACUUCAUCCCUGACUCUGAUAGUGAUAUGCCCUCUUGCUCUGCCGCAAUUCAGGCAUUCAGCAUGAAAAAGGCCGUCUGCUAAACGGGCCAGAGAUUCACUGGAUAGCCCAUAGAAGCUCUCGAUCAGCUUAAAGAGAGUGUGGCCCACGAAACGACAACUCCCUUCCUUUUUUUUUUUUGGGGGGGGGGGGGGGGGGGGGGGGGGUUUUUUUUGGGGGGCCGGGGAAAACCAGAACAUGAACGUGCAGCUGGCGUUUCCGGAUAACGUUCCUUCCCUCUGCUUGUUGCGAACACCGGCUGAGUUCGCUGGAUUGACAUUUGCUAAUCAUAUGUCAGUUGUGCACGUGGAGACAGAUGAGGUAUAAUGAUUAGAUUAUGUUAACUCAACGUAGCCAUGGCGUCAUUAUUCUAUGUCUAGUUAUGCUGCACUUAUUAAUUCAACGCCAUUUAGCAGAUAUAUUCAUAUACGACUACUAAUUUCUGUGUCUGAUAUGGCACCUUGCUUCAUGAUUGUAGGCAAUAGGCAUGGACAUCACAUACUUGACACUAGUUUUUUCUUGAAUUAUUGACUCAUAAAUGAUGGGAAUGCCAGCCACACUAACAGGAAAUCACAUGUGCGUCAUACAAAAAAUUCAUAAUUAGGUUCCUGUAUAUUUUGCAAAAUAUAAACAAUAAUCACACCAAAAUGGCAAAUAGUUUUUUAAUUUUAGGCUAAUAUAAAAACAAUACAAUGUAGCAACCCUAAUCUUGAGAUAAAUGAAAUCAGACAGAUGAAAGGGAGAGGAAUAAUUUCGCUCUAUACCGACUGAAAUAUGUUUACUCUGAUAGUACUAACUUCUAUGCAUUUAACAUUUAACUUUUGAGAAAUGGUAUAUUUAUCUGUCGAUAGAUUUGCAAUGUUCCGGUCUAGGAAAAAAUAAAUGCCCCGACAAUGAAAUAAAAUUUUGCAUGUAGGGAAACAAAAUGUUCUUAAGAAAUUAGAGAUGACAGAUUUUUUUUAAAAAAAUGUGGUGAUUUGCAAUAUUAAUUCCAGUCUAAGAAAAAGGUGUUGGUCGUAUAGAGAUGAAUAUAAAUUAUUGGAUUGUAAUUCAAUGCAUGGUAAAAGGAAGUGACAAAUUUCACUCAUGAAAUCUAUCAACAUAUAAACUAUAAAAUACCCUACUUACUUUGGUCGCAAAUCAUUUGUUAAGUUGGAACACGACGGUAAAGGGAGAGAAGGAAAAAGUUCAUAUCACAAAUGCACUUUAGGCUGAAUGAAAAAUCAAUUGGGUAAAGCACUAAAACUAUAGGUAAUUGUAUUUCAAGGCCACUCCAGUGUUGAAAAUAAUCGAACCGUCACGCAAGGAAAACGAACAGAGCACACUGCACGCGUCCACUGUUCGGCCUCAGAUCGUAAAUCGAACUCGAACCGUGGGAAGCCUGCUGACUAACCGUGUGUUUGGUUCUGGGGUUGAAAUAGGUUGAGUUGGAGCCAACCCACUUCGACCUAUAUUUGGUUGGAGAGGGUGAAGGUUGGCUCCAACCCAGUAGAGGAAUAUUCCUCUAAUAUCCGGGUUCAUCCCAUCCUCCCAAAAUGAAGGGAUCGGUCCAACCCAGAUGAACAGCGUCUUCGUCCGUUUUCUCGCGCUCGCCCGUCGCCGCCUCCGCCCGCACGACGCCGCUACCCACCCGACCCCGCUGCCGGCUGAACUCCGCCCGCGCGGCGCCCUCCCGCCGCCGCUUGCCCCAUGGCCCGCGACGCAGCUCCUCCACCUCCGGGCGCCCCAUGGCCGCGGCCCCUCAGGCCGGCGCGGGGAGGGAGCUCAGGCCAACGGCGGGGGUGGGUUCAGGCUAGCGUGGUGGGGAGCAGGGCCGCCGGAGGGGCGGCGACGCGCAGGUGGCUAGGGAGGGAGGGGCGGCUUGCAGGUGGGGGCCAACGGCGCAGGGAGCCGCCGGCGGGGGUCGGCGCGCUGGCGGUCGUGGACCGGCCCGGGAGGAGCCGUGAAGGAGGAUGGCUUGCUGGAGCAGAGGAGGAAGAAGAUGGAAGGGAGGGAGAAAAAAAGAGGCUGACAGGUGGGCUCCACGGCUGACAGGUGGGGCCCACAACUAACGGUGUUAAAAGGACAUCCAUCCAACCCUCUUUACCCCUUCAACCAAAAAAAACUGGUCGGCUGCAACCCACUCAUCCAAACAUGAGAUGGGUCGGCUCCAACCUACAAAAGUGGGUCGGCUCCAAACCAACCCACAUCGUCCCAAAAUCAAACGCUACCUAAAAUAUUCUUUCUUGACUGGGAUGAGCAGCUAGAAUCUUUCACCGUAGCGAUACAAAGAAGUACCAAAACAAGUAAUAUAGUUCUGUAUUGGGAAAAGUGUAUCUUUCAUCCCUUAUAUAUUUUGAAGGUGUGAUAUUCAUUCUUAAUAUUUUAAUUAGUGCAAAUCAAUCCCUUACCUAAUUGUAUCGAUGCACUUGCAUCCCACCUCAGUUGAACAAUGGUUUAGUGCAAUGUAAUGGUAGUUUAUGCCACAUAGUCAUUUGAACAAAUAUUUCUUAGCGGUUUAAUAUGUUGGGUCGAAAAUAUAAAGUCCACAAAAAAUUUAGUAACCCUUCUAAAUUAGCUACCAUAUAAUUUUCUUCGAAAAAAUUAACGGAACCAAUUCACACUCAACUGUUUUAACGAUUGACUUAACAAAAAAUGUGGCUAAGUAUUGAUUCGCAUGAUUACAUGGUCUAAUCUGAUGUUAUAUGAUACUAAAUUAUUAUUAAAUUAAGGUGGUUUAGCUAGUUAAGGGGUUGAUUUGCAUCAAAUAAAAUAUAAGGGGGAAUGUCACACUUUUGUAAUGCUUAAGGGAUGAAAAAUACACCUUUUCAUCUGUAGUUCACUUGUGGGACCGCACACAUUGCAGCCAUGAAACUGCGUAAAAACUGAAAUGCACUUUGCGGCACUUUGCGCUCCAAAUCGAUUUACACACUGGGCUGCCCUCAUGGAGAAUCAUCUCUAUCAACAGAUGUCCCUGAAGGAAAACAUUUGAAACACUCUUAUCUGAAUUGCCACACUUUGGUAACUGAUGAGCGUUUUGUUAGGUUUGUGGAAUCUGGUUUGAGUUCUUGAAUUAGCACAAUUGUAUUUUUGGCUAAUUAUUAUUUCACGUGCUAAUUGAAAACAAGACGCGUGUGGCAGGGGCGGAUCUAGCUGGGAAAAAAAUGAGUAGCGGCCUGCUAAUUUAUGUGUCUUUACAAUUUUACUAGAUAAGCUUUAUGUCCAUCGAAAUCAGAAAAUCAAGCGCCGGCGGCCUAUGUACCCUCGCUCGAGUGAACGUAGAUCCACCCUUGGCUUGGGGUGAUUUUAUUAAUCCAUAAGAUCUACCGGCCCAAUCUCGUAGAGCAUCCAUAGAUGUGAGUGACAUGUGAGCAUCUAAUACGCAUGGUUGUGUGUGUGUAUGCUAGCACAUCACGUAUGUACCGUGUGUUUCUGAAAAAUAUAAGCGCAUAUGUAUGUCAUACAAACAUACUGAUAUUCUCCAAAUUAACCGCGCUCUUCGGGGUGCUGUUUCAUAACAUUUGUUAUGUUUAUGAGGUUGUUGCCUUGUCUCAUUUUGUUCCAAUGCUUUUUAGAUAGUGCCAAUUUAUUCCAAUCUACAACAACACGAGUCACCUCACAAAUGCACCUAGGUUCACACAAUUGAGAAAAAUGAUGUCUCGACCUGUAUGACUAGAUCGUACAAAAAUUGAGAAAAAUGAAAAUAUGGAUGGACGGAUGGCAUGAUGGCAAUAUACAAUAAGAUCUUGUUCGGCAGACAUGUUUUCAAUACGGACCUAGUUCUCUUCAUGGACCGGAUCAAGUGGAUCCUGAUGACUCACUCAAAUCUGGGCCGGCUCUGAUCCGGAGGGUUGGAGAUGUAGUUUCGUUUCGGGUCCGUGGAGGAGGUGGAAAGGCCGUUCCGAGCCUGUUUAUUUCCUGAGCUGGCUCGAACCGAACAACAAUUUCAUCUUGUGCCUGACUUUGAAACAUGCCGCUCCAAUCCAGGUCUAAAUGGAUGAGAGGCAAAAGAAAAAGAAAAAAGCGAUGAACUAUUUGACAAACGAGUAUAAGUUGCACUCAACCAUGAGCUAAACAUCCGACCGUCUAAUAUAAGAUGGUGGACCCUGCGUUGCGCAAUGGUUUGCUGGCGGAGGAUCGGAGCGGCAUGAAUGCGGAGAGAAACGGACCCUGAGGGGAGGAAGAAAGCCGAGCAAAGAAACGUGGAUAGGUUUCGUUAUACUAGUGUGUAAACCGCCACCCUUUGUAAUUUUUCUCUUUUACCCAUCGCUCUGCCUGUUUCAGUUGAGUGUUUCUCAAUGGUUACACUCUGAUAGCUAGGGACAUAGGGCGCGAGCACGGCGUACGCGGUAGGCCGGCCAUUACCGCAGUUAACUCAGCAGUAUAGUCACGUCCUUCCCGUUGCUAGCUGUUAAUGCGCAAGUGGCACAGCCUCACUGCGCUUGUCCGCAUAUGGAUGCGCGGACCUCCUCGCCGGCCGGUGGCCGGUGUGGACGGAAUGGACCGGCCGCCGGCCCGUCGGUCCCGUCCGCCACGACGCGCGGGUCUCAAUGCUGACGACUGACGAGGCCCGCCAUGCCAACUCGAUCGGACGGACUGCCGCUUGGGUACCAGUACCACCGUGCCAGCCUUAAAAUCUAGGACAGGCGCCCCGACGACUGCACCGGCGAGAGUCUGUCAUCUAGAUCUAGUCAUCUCAUGGACCGAUCGAGAGAGCGAGCGGCCGGGGGACGACGGUGGGCAGUGGGGCGGUAAAUGGCGCCACUGCUCUCUCCCUGCGUCUAGCUUGUGCGCGUACAUGGUCACGCACGACCAUGAAUAGCAACUUGAUGGCGGUGGACGCCUUGUCAGUGGGUAGCAGUGCGCGUACCGUAGCCCAUGGUAACAUAGUAAAAACGUUGCGACGACGACGCGCGUCAAACUGAUGAUGGUCUCCGUGCCGAGACCAGCAGUAGAAGGAUCUUCCUCCCGUCUGCCUGUUUCUCACCUUCUUCAGCUACUCGACGCGUACAUCUACUGUCUCCUAGUUUCAAGUCACGCCGGCUUGCCUUCCCGCUGGCCGCCUAACCCCGGUGUGGGAAGCUAGGUAAUAUUAAAAUAUCUAGCUACGUCAACGUACGUCCACAUGACCACACAUAUGCAUUGCAUGGGAGACCUUGGCACCUUGCAUUGCCGAGCUAAACGUACCAGAAUAUCGUAUAGUUAGUAAGGAAAAGUGUCCACUAGUCUCAUACAUGAAUGAGCUACCUGAAUGAUCGAGAUGGACGAUCAGAGGGGUGAAUGGAAACCGAUCAAAAUUCUUUUCUUGAACAAAGGAAUUCAGCCCAUAUCCAAAAAUCACCCUACACACAUCUCUUGUAGAAUUGUUAGAUCCACAAAGCCAAAUGAGAUGUUACUGGAUCAAGGAACAAUACUAGAAAACCCUUGACACAAAGCGAAACCAAGCAUAGAAAGAGCUAAAGCAGAACAGAAGCUUUAGAGAAAAACUGGUACUACUAGAACCAAAACCGGAGGGGAAUUUUCCAAAACCGGAGCUUCCUCUUUUCAAAACCAGAACAUCCGAUUUUGCCCAAACAACCUGAAGGAGCUCCAAGAAAAAUAGCAAAACUCGAUCAAACAAACUCCAAAAAUCACGAUAUUUGAACCAUGGCUUUCCAAGACUGUCAAGAGUCUACUCCCAAGAGAUCUCCCCAAAAUAAGCAAGUUGCAAAAACCAGAACUUUCUAUUUUGCAAAAUCGGAACUUCCUAUUUUUCCCUGCGCGGGUCAAGAUCCAAAGAAAAGGGAAACUCGAUCAAAUGAUAUCCAAACUUCAUGAAAUUUUAGCCAGAGGUUUUCCCAGAAGCAGUGAGUCUUCGUCCAAAAGAUUUCCUCAAAAAGAUCAAGAUUUCAUCUUGAAUUUUAUGAUUUUUGUCAAGAACACAAGAGAAAGGGAAUUUCGAGGAAAUCCAAAUCCAGACCAAAUUAGUUAGGGAUUUGAGGGGGAAUCAUAAAAAGGUUCCUCACAAGGAUACCAACAAAAAAAAACCCCAAAAGAUUUCACGGGAUUUGAAGCCAAACGCGAAUAACAAGAAAUCCCCAAAAAAUGCCUACGAAAAUACCGAAAAAGAUAAAUUUCAAAUCUUGAGAAGGAGAAGCAAUUGAGCGCGAAAUUGAUUCUUUGAUUACUUCAUCAUGUCCAGUUACAAUCCAAUUCUAAGCACAAACAAAGCUUGGAGGGCUAAAAGAUCAACUCAAAGAUCCCUCACCUCUCCUCCCUCACACCUCUACCAAAGGCUCUUACAAACAAAUGAGUAGUCUACCACCAAAGAGAUGUCCAAAGAGUAGCUGGCCAACAGCCCUCUCCACUUAUAUAUAGGCAUCCAGAAAAUGACCAGAAUGCCCUUACAUGAAGCACACAACUCAAAUACCCCUAGGGGUAAAAUUGUCCAACUUUUUCCUCGUACAUCAGACGGACCCGACGCCUUCACGACUUAGCUUCGCCUCAACGCAAGCUUCGCGAUGGUACCACGCGUCCACCGACUCGACGCCGUUCAGCCACACCGGACUCGUCCUCCGGUUUGAGGCCAAACCGGUUAAACUCUCUUGCACACCCAACAGGCGUGACUCAUCCCCGGUUUUGAGGUCAAAACGGUCAAACCCUUUUGCACGCUACACCUGAUGUGACUCACUGAUGUCGACGUGUGUUCGGCCUCUGCCAAGCCUCCGACACCUCCAAAUCUUUCACUCCCACUCCCGGGCCGCCUACUCGACUCGCCUCCAUCCUUCUUGACUCGACCGACGCCAUCUCCAUCAUCGUCCAUGUACUCUUGCUCUUCCGUGCACCAUGUGGAUCGCUCAUGACUCCGCCUAGACUCCUCGGGUCCCUCGGUCCAAGCCUACUCGUGUCCACCCUUCACAGCCCUAGUAUAUCGGUAUGAACCUUUCGCUUGACCUUCACCUCAUGCUGUCGACCGUCAUGUUGCAUCCUAUACCUGCACAUCACAAACCAAGAGACACAACACACAACAUAUGGUUUACACAAACAUCUGGUUAGCCGUUAGCAUAAUUAUGCACAGAUAAAAUAUGGACUCAACCGGUAAAGCCUCACAUCAUCUAGUCAAUCACUCAUCACAAAUAGACCAAGGCACUUCUCAAAUUGGUCUGCCACUACUAGAUCAGAUUAAAAUCUUCUGCAAGUUGUUAGAUGAAAUGGCCUAUUCUAAUAAUUCCAAAACAAGUACAUGCAUGCAUGGAAGAGUUUAGUGUCUAUCGAUCAGGGAAGUGUCUCCAUAUCGGUCGAUUGGAAAAUGAUUCAGCCUCAAUCAACGCUUCCGAUCGUUAGGAUCCCCCCUCCUCCCCACGCGCUUUAUCUCUUUGAUUCGAGUGAACACGAAAGUAACCGGUUCCGCUUCGUAUUCCUCUCACCCAACGCGUAAUGCCCCAUCGCCAACACCACCUGCCUAGCUCCGCCAGCCUUCGCCACAACCCUCUACCAUGGCCCGACGCUAAUCCAUUGGGGCCAGACACCGUCCAUCGAGGUCUCCCUCCGUCCAGCACCAGCGGCGCUCACACGUUUUCCUUCCACCCCCCUUUUUUCCCCCUUAAAAAAAAGCAUUCCCCCCAAGACUCCCCUUUAACCUUGAAGCCCACCCGGGUACCCCCCCCCCUCCAACCCCAAAACCCCCCCCCCCCCCCCCCACCUUAAAUCCCAAUCUUGAGAAAUAGCUAAUAAAAAAUCAAGUAUCCGAGAACGAGUUAAAUCUGAUCAACGUAUAUAUACAGUUGAGCUAGCUCUCUCCUUUCUUCAAAAUAGAGAGAUGACUGGGUGGUGAUAUGGCCAAGAUGUCCGCGAGCUGGUGUUGGAAUGGAAGUCGCCAUCCGAGCUUGUUGAUGCUAUGGCCAAUGCUGGGCAACGGUUUCAAAUUGGAGCACCGGCGAUUCAUCACAACCACGGUAGAUUCUGCUGACGUUGAGCAGCUUAUUGGCAAGUGACGUAUAGCCUUCAGGUUAUGCUGACGUUGACAGGCUUCUAUGCAAGUGUUGUAGGGGGUUCUCUCUACCUAGCGAGGGAACAGAACGUCAGACCGUACUGGUUGAAGAGAAGACUCGCCAAGUCGUCGCCGUGCAUGCAAUGCAACCCAACUACGUACUAUAAAUACUGGCUCACAGCUUACGAGCAAAGCACACAACUCACAAGCACUGGUGUAUCUCCCUCUCAGCGCGACCAUGGAGCUCGGCUUCCGCUACCUCGUCCUCGCCCUACUCCUCGCCUUGGGCAGCAACAUUGCGCCGGCGAGCGCCGCCGGCGGGAGCUGGCAGCUCCUGCAGGACAGCGUCGGCGUGUCGGCGAUGCACAUGCAGCUGCUGCACAACGACCGCGUGAUCCUCUUCGACCGCACCAACGUCGGCCCGUCCAACCUCACCUUCCCCGCUGGUCACCCCUGCCGCAGCAACCCCCAGGACCGGUGGUUCCACAACAGCACGGACUGCACCGCGCACUCCGUCGAGUACGACGUCGCGUCGAACACCUUCCGCGCGCUCUCCAUCGUCACCGACACCUGGUGCUCGUCGGGCUACGUCGCGCCGGACGGUACCCUCGUCCAGACCGGCGGGUGGGAGGACGGCAACCGCAAGGUGCGCCUCAUGCCGGCGUGCACCGGGCCUGACACCGCGGGUGCCUGCGACUGGUCCGAGAAGCUGGCGGACCCGGACGUGCUCGCCGGGGCCCGGUGGUACGCCACCAACCAGAAGCUCCCCGACGGCGGCGCCAUCAUCGUUGGGGGCCGGGACCAGCCCAACUACGAGUUCUACCCAAAGGCAGGCCCUUCCGCUACCACCUUACUGCCGCUGCCGUUUUUGUCUGAAACUGACGAGGACAGCAAGUACCUGUACCCUUUCGUGCACCUCAACGUGGACGGCAACCUUUUCGUCUUCUCCAACAACCGUGCCAUCCUAUUCGACUACAAAAGCGGCAGCGUCGUCCGAAGGUACCCCACGCUCGGCGACGGCGCGCCGAGGAACAACCCCAACGCGGGCUCCUCGGUGCUGCUCCCCCUGAAGCCCGACGCCACCGAGGCCGAGGUGCUCAUCUGCGGCGGGGCGCCGGCGAGCUCCAACGACGCCGUGGAGAGGGGGCAGUUCCCCCCGGCGCUGAGGACAUGCGGCCGGAUCAAGAUAACCGACCCUGACCCCGCGGCGGCAUGGGUCAUGGAGGACAUGCCGUCGCCGCGGGUGAUGGGGGACAUGAUCCUGCUGCCCAACGGCGAGGUGCUCAUCAUCAACGGUGCCACGGACGGGAUCGCCGGGUGGGGGAAAGCCAACACUUUCAACCCCACGCCCGUCAUCUACCGCCCGGACUUCCCGUCGGAGCCGGUUCGAGGUGCAGAGGCCGGCGGGCGCCCCGCGGCCGCGGAUGUACCACUCCUCGGCCGUGCUCCUCCGCGACGGCCGCGUGAUGCUGGGCGGCAGCAAUCCGCACGAGGGAUACGUUUUCCGUAACGUCAAGUACCCCACCGAGCUCAGCCUCGAGGCCUUCUCGCCGGACUACCUCGACGCCUCCGACGACGAGCGCCGCCCCAACAUCGUCGACCCGUCGCUGACAGGCGCGCCGGUGAACGUCAACUCACGGGAUCAGCUGAUGCUACCGUUCAGGGUCCCCGUCCUCGACCCCGUGGUGUCGGUCACCAUGGUCGCGCCGUCGUUCACGACGCACACGUACGCCCAGAACCAGAGGCUGCUGUUCUUGCAGGCCCAGGUGAACAAGGCACAGCUCCCGGGGGUCGGCGGUGCGAUACUCCCGACCGACGCGUAUGUGGCGACCGUGACGAUGCCGACCAAUGUCUUGGCGCCGCCGGGCUACUACAUGCUGUUCGUCGUGAAUGGCCGCAUUCCCAGCCAGGGUAUCUGGGUCCGCAUUCAGUGACGGCGGAUACUUGGACCAUCACCAUCAUCCCAUCUUGAAGUCGUUCAGGAGUUGCUAGUCGCUAGAGAAUGGUCGUCAUAAAGUGUGUUACCUUUCUUCUAAUGCAUCAUGUAAUCAGUUCAAAUUUAAUGAGAUGCUUGGUAACACCAUCAAGCUAUUUUACGAAUUUCUCAUGACAACAUUAUUAACAUUUCACAAGUAGAUUUUGAGAUAAGUCAUAAUAUUUGUCUGGCUAUCGAUGGGCAUGAGCAGCCUACCAAUUAAAAAAAUUAGUUAAUUAUAAAAUCGAGUACACAUGGAUUCAUGUUGGUAAAUUCCAGCGCAAAAAAUCCAACUAACUAAGCUAUACUUAAUUUGCUGAUAUGUUAAUUAAACCGUUACACAAUCCAGCUUACUUGUGAAAAAACUGAAAGCUGUCAAAUUCAGCUAUCCUAUCAUGCAUGGUGCCUCAACAUUGGGGUGUUCAUUGAAAAUAACACGCCACACUAAUGCAUAGUUUCUCUCUGAUAACAAGAUGGAAUAUUUCAAUAAUGAAUAUAAGGAGUAUUCUCUAAAACAUCUAGAAUUAUAUCUCAGCAGCACUAUAACAACAAGCAAUUCCAACAUUAUAUAAUUAACAACAAUAGCAACAUCACUAAAAAAAGAUACAACAAAAGGUAUAUGUAUUUCAUCUUCAUUGAAAAAACAACUUAUGCCUGAUCACACGGAGCAAAUAAUAGAUCCAAAAGCCUUCAAAAUUAACAGACUUGACGUUAAACAAGUCCCCCACAAGUUGAUAAAGUUUCAUCCAAUUCAGACUCUAUUUGACCCCACAGAUCAUAUUUCUACUAAAAUUGGGCACCGCUGAACUAUUGCUAAUAGCGUUGACGAACCCCCCCCCCCCCUUGAAUCUGAUACUCCACUAACCAAAUCCUCAAACCAACCAUAUGGAUUAGAGAGCUACAAGUGUAGAACAAGCUCACCGACUUUGGUAACAAUCCAACUCUCUUUGCACCUCCAAUCACGAGGUUGAUGAUAUUUGCACAAGACACAUUGAUUGGGACAUCAACCUUCUUCGCCUCUCUUCUCUUUAUCUCUCCUUCAUUGUUUUAUAAGCUGAACUCAUGGCUACCGUUCUGGUCUCUUACCAACACCUCUCUCACACACUCCAAGCAAACUAUAUAAGAAGCUAGAUUUUACUCUUAAACCCAUCUCCAUCGUUAUCAAGGUGGAAAUCAACGGCUUACACAUGCCAUGCUGCGUUGGGCUCUUGAGUUUAAUGUAUGUUCAUGUGGAGAAGAUAUUUAGCCAACAUAUGCAUCAUGCUUUCCCCCACUUCUAAACUACCUUAGAGCACUGGUAAAUUGUCCAAAUGCAAGGUUCUAAUUUUGUGAUACGUACUUCUGAACUGUUGUCACCCCUUCUUGUGACAAUCGAUUCAUCAAGAAUGAUGCGAUAACUGAUAUUGUAGCGUUCUCUGAACUUGAAUCAUCUGACCGCUUAUUGUGCAUCUAUCUGUCACUAUUGAAAAAUUGAGCAUUGGUCCUAGCCCUUAGUACUGGUUGAUUUUUGAUCCGGUACUAAUGCUCCGGUACUAAUGUGAGCAUUAGUACCAGGUCUAACGGCUAGUUCCCCAGGUGCCUGCCGUGACCCCCUUUAGUACCGGUUGGAGGCUCCAACCGGUACUAAAGGUCACCCAUAAGUACCGUGUGGAGGUUCCACCCGGUAAUAAAGAUCCUCAGGCACAUUAGUACCGGGUGGACCAUUUGGUACUAAUGUGCCUGAGGGUCUUUAGUACCGGGUGGAGUCUCCACCCGAUACUAAUGGGUGAUCUUUCUCUGAGAACUUUCAAGUCCAAUGCCCUCCCCCCCCACCCAUUCGGCGGCUUGGCCCUUAUUGUUUCCUCCCCGAGUCGUAUUUGAUACUUCCUCCUCGACCACUAUCCUUGGGGUGGGGUAACACAAAUAAAAUGCGCAGGAUAUCUUUUCAAUAUUGAUAAGAAGUCUCCACUAAAAAGAUGGAAUGAAUUAGGAAUGAACUGGUUGAUAUUCUCAACACUACUCGUAAAGAUUAUUAUUCAAUAAACGAUCCCUGGAGUGUCGUAAUACGAGAGAAUGUUUCCAUUUUUGAUUGCUAUUUGACUCACUGGCCUCAGAUCUCACGGUACAACUGCCGGACACGUCGAGGAAUCUAACAUAUACUGUAAAGUGUGUCCAUGUCCACAUGACACUUGCUAGUUUUAGCCGUGUGUCGAGACUAUGCCAUGGACACGUGUCNNNNNNNNNNNNNNNNNNNNNNNNNNNNNNNNNNNNNNNNNNNNNNNNNNNNNNNNNNNNNNNNNNNNNNNNNNNNNNNNNNNNNNNNNNNNNNNNNNNNNNNNNNNNNNNNNNNNNNNNNNNNNNNNNNNNNNAUGAGCUGGAAGACUGAUCGAGAGUCAGAGCAUGAACGUGCAGCCGGCGAUGUUUCCGGGUAACAUUCCUUCCCUCUACCAACCCUACGAACCGGCUGACUUCGCUGGAUUAGCAUUUAUUUGCUAAUCUUUUGUUAGUUAUGCGUGUGGAGACAGAUGGGCCAUAGUUGAUUAGAUAGGAUAAUUAACAUAACAUGCUGUCAUUAUUCUGUCUACUUUUUCUGCACACGCCAGCUUCAUGAUUAGAUAGGAUAAUACAGCAUAAUAAUUAUAUUUGUGUGUUUGAUAUUGCACCUGCUUCAUGAUUAAGUCAACGGUAUUGUUCUAAAGUAUCAAUUCUUUGAUGAUGGGAAACCUAGUUUAGCACAAACCUCUAUGGGAAGGCAGCACAUUUCAUCUCAUAUCAUAUGCUGUAUAUUGUUUACUUUAUCAUUAGGACCAUGAAGAAACAAAAGCAGUAAAGAUAAGGCAAAAUAAAAAACAAAAAUAAAUCCAGAAAGCACAUGUAAGUUGUGCAAAAAGUUCAUAAUUAAAUUCCUUUAUAUUUUGCAGAAUGUAAACACUUCCACCCAAAAUGGCAUAUAAUUUUCAUAUUGUGAGUCCAAACUGGUAUUCAGCUGACCAAUAAAAACAUAAGGAAAAAAAAUGUAGUAACCCUGAUCUUGAGAUAACUGAAACCAGAUGAUAGACGAGAUGGGGAGAAAUAAGUUCACUCUAAUAUGGACUGAAAUAUGUUUACGCUGAUGGUACCUAUGCAUAUAACUGCUCUAAAAAAACUCAUAUGCAUAUCUAUAAGUAUAUAACUACAACAUAUACCAUCCGUCGUCAACCCCGCUCGGGAAGAUGAUGAAAUAUAUACGCCGUCGUGCCACGCAGAAUGGGGACCUUGCGGCGCUAAACCAGACCAUCAUGAGCUGCAAGCUAAUAGAAGAGGAACUACCAGAUCAGAAUAUAAUCGGUAACACAUGGCCAAAAUUAAUGCCAACAUUCCUUGUCUCCUGGGCGAGCAGAGUCCUGCACGUUCCAGGGUUCAACCAGAAAAACUAGUGUAAAGAAAAAAUGGUUCGAGCUUGCAGUGCAACUAUAUAUACGUGCUCUCGCAGCUCCCGAGCUGAAGCAGGCCAGCAGCAUUGCCACAAGCCCCUGUCUGUCUCUGUCUCCGGCAGCCGAAAGUACUAGCCUCAUACUUAGUAUGGGAUGAGGAAGCCUAGUCCCGGAUUGAACCUAGACGUGAGCGGUCGCCCCAUGNNNNNNNNNNNNNNNNNNNNNNNNNNNNNNNNNNNNNNNNNNNNNNNNNNNNNNNNNNNNNNNNNNNNNNNNNNNNNNNNNNNNNNNNNNNNNNNNNNNNNNNNNNNNNNNNNNNNNNNNNNNNNNNNNNNNNNNNNNNNNNNNNNNNNNNNNNNNNNNNNNNNNNNNNNNNNNNNNNNNNNNNNNNNNNNNNNNNNNNNNNNNNNNNNNNNNNNNNNNNNNNNNNNNNNNNNNNNNNNNNNNNNNNNNNNNNNNNNNNNNNNNNNNNNNNNNNNNNNNNNNNNNNNNNNNNNNNNNNNNNNNNNNNNNNNNNNNNNNNNNNNNNNNUUGUGACGACGGCGACGGAGGAACAACCGGUACGCCGGCUAGUCAGUGUUUUUCCACUGUAGCUCCACCCGACGGAGACAGAGGUGCUCAUCUGCGGUGGCACGCGGAACACCGCCGCCGCCGCCGUGGGGAGGGGUCAGUCCCCCGAGGCGCUGAGGACGUGCGGGCGGCUCAGGAUCACCGACCCAAACCCGUCGUGGGUCGUCGAGGAGAUGCCGUCGCCCCGGGUGAUGGGGGACAUGAUCCUGCUCCCCAACGGCGAGGUGGCCAUCAUCAACGGCGCCACGGAUGGGAUCGGCGGAUGGGAGUCCGCCAACACCUCCAACCCCACACCCGUCAUCUACCGCCCGGACCUUCCCGUCGGGAAGCGGUUCGAGGUGCAGGCACCAGCGGGCACCCCGCGGCCGCGGAUGUACCACGCCUCGGCGGUGCUCGACCGCAACGGCCGUGUGAUCGUCGGCGGCAGCAACCCGCACCAGUUCUACGAGUUCAACAAGAAGUUUCCCACCGAGCUCAGCCUGGAGGCGUUCUCGCCAUACUACCUCGACGCCGCCAACGACGGUCUCCGUCCAAACAUCUUCGACCCGUCACCCAAGGACGGGCCGGUUCACGUGGCGUACGGGGGCCAGCUGAAGCUGAAGGUCUUUGCACGCGUCGGCGUUCCCGGGUCGGUCACCAUGGUGGCGCCGUCGUUCACGACACAUUCGUUCGCCCAGAACCAGAGGCAGCUGUUUCUCCAGGUCCAGGUGAAGCCUGUGCAGGCAUUCCAGAUGAACGGCGGGGCAGCGACGCUGUUUCCCGGCGUCUACGAGGCCACCGUGGUCAUGCCGGCGACGCCGGUCUUGGCGCCGCCGGGCUACUACAUGCUGUUCGUCGUGAAUGGGCGCAUUCCCAGCCAGGGGAUCUGGGUCCACAUACAUUGACAAGCGAGGGGAUUCUAGAGUGAUUAUUUCGUUCCAUUGGUUUAUGAGCUACCCAUCCUCACUGAUUUGAACCAUCCUAAUCGGAGUUGUAAGAAGAAAAUAUUUUGCGUGUAUCUUGUUUCUUCUCAUGCAUAAUGUAAUCAUCGAAAUAUAAUGAAUUUUAAUGAGAUGCUUGGUAAUGUUGUUUUCUAUACCAUCGUUUUUUAAAGGUUUCCAUGAUUAGCUGAUUAACAGUUCACCAUCUUCACAUAGCAGAAUCGCCUCCAGGAUCCAAACAUUCAGAACUCAAAUUAAAAGGUAAAUCCACCCACUUAUCAUAGCAUGUACUAGGAAACAAGAUUCGAGUUCAAGGAACCCAAAUGCCACAGGAUUAUAAGAGAUAAAGGAAUUUCGUUCAGAAAAUGUGGUUAACCUUUCCCUGAUAAAACUGGAGAAAGUGAGUCCUGUUUUAAAACGGGUAUGAAAUUCAACCCAAAACAUUUUCUGCACAUCAAGAUUCAAGGCAAAUGGGCAUUUCAAUAAAUCAAUAGUAAAAUGUAAGCCAUGAUUCCUUUAGUGUCUUUAGCAUUUCAUUUCAGAUUCCAGGAGGAAACAGAGACAACGGAUAUGAUCUUUCGAAACCUCAAUAUGCGUUCAGUGUUUGGAUAGCUAGGCAACAAAAAGGAGGUCAGGAAAAACAUGGUAUUAGGAGCAACAAUGCUUAAAAUUUUGAGUGCAAUCCAAAGAACAGCAUGACCGAAUGUUUUGCAGUGAGUGCUUGAGUGACACAAGACAGUAGCACAAUUUCAAUUACGAAGAAAACAUCCCCAGUGAUGAAAGCUGUAGGGCGAUCCACAGUGACUCUCAAACGAGAUUUAGAGGGGCCCUGCAAAAGUUCCGCUCUCCCUCUGCUCGUUCCACUUCUCCACCUGAUUCAGUAGAGGAAAGCUGAUGACGUUGAAGAAGACUGGCUAGAAUGCAUGGCUAGUUUCAACGCGUCAAGAGAACAUGGUCCGUCUAAGCAAUAAUGGAUAGAGAAAUGGAAGAAUUGCUGGGCAGAAAAUGUGAAACACACUUGAGGUCCCCCAAAAAGAUUUAGAAGAGGAAAUGAUAUUUUGAAAUAAAAAAUCAAGUAAUUCUAAAACUAUUGCCUGGAGAAAAAUAAAAGUUAGAAGUACAUUAAAAUUUUAAACUGUGUUGUCCAUAGGUGCAGAAUGCAAACAGGUUCUAAGCAGGAGCAUAUAACGUGUUAAAGUACCCAACUGUAUGCUAAUAUACACAGCAAAAUUUACCAAUGAAUAACAUUAUCCGCAAACUUCUACUCCUAGUAAGUGAUAUGAUGGCAGAAACAAAUUAGUGCAGCCAAGUAAUUCAGAUAUAAUGGCUUUUAACUCGACAAAGAUUUUUAGUUCAGACUGGUGGCUAGUGCAUCACAAAUUUCCUAUCUUCUGACAAGUUCAUGGCAUGCGCGACUCAAUCUGGUAACAUUCCUUAUAGUUGGAAAACGAAUAACAGCAGUCCUACACAAGACAGCAUAAGCACUCACCCAUUCUCCUGGGCAAAGAGAGCGGUAGUACUUGGCGAAUUUCUCACAUUCAGCAGUUCCAUCCCCUUUGGCAUUCACACAUCUGGUUUCAUGGAAGUUCAAAUAGUAAAGAAAGGUAAUGAGAUAUUGUUCAUGUGUAAAGUUUUGUUCUUCGAACAAUGCACGUGUAAAGUUUUUGCAGCCAACAUACCUAUGGUACUCAAUAUAGCGCGUAAAACAAUGCCUGGUUUGGUUCGUGGUAGGAAAGCGGAAGUCAGUAGGUGCGGUCUUCAGCUCAAUCUGGUAGAAAUGCAAAACAUAAACAGAUAACAGUGGAGCAAAAUACAGGCAAUACAAAUAAAGCUAACAAAUGAAAGACAAUGUUGGGAAGCAAUAGCAUGUUAUGUAAAUGAAAGAAAGCUCAUUUCACUGAACAAAAAUGGCACAACUCCAUAAGAACAGUGUCUGGGAGACUGGGAUAAACAUUAGUGUCUGUUAGAUAAAUGUAAGAAGGCUCAAUUCACUGUACAAGCAUUGUUGCCUAAUACUUCAAUGGAACUCUCCGACUAUUGGAAUUAGGCACUUGGUUAUGCAAUUCAUAGUCUUCUUUUUUUAUAAAAGAAAAGAAAAAACAUGGCACCCUGACACUCACCAAGUAGAUGGCCAUCUGAGCCAACCCUACGUCUCAAUCCCGCAUUGACGAGGAGGUCAAAUACCAUCCACACCGACAGGCACCUGGCCUGUUCUGUAACCCAUACGAUCUGCUGGUGCUUACAACAACGACGAUCUGUUGCUAGAGCCAGUAUCACUAUCUUCACAAAACCGUAAAGGCCGAACCAAAUUUUAUAGCCAAUCCAAACCCACCCUUAAAUUUAAAAAAUGUAACCUGACAUGAUGAAUGCAGCACCCUAUAUCAGAUCUUAGUACAUAAUUCCGUAAUUUCCCACCACAACAGUACGCAAAUUGCACGUGGGGGAUCAAGCAGCAUAGCCCCCAAAGCCGUGAACCACAAACAGGAAGAAAUGGACCUAGUGUCCAUAAACAAACAACAAUCGCAAUUCACGUCGCGCGCGAGCGCACGGAUCAGAUCCGCGCGACGGGAAACCAUCUCUAGUCCCACGAUCGACGAACUAGGUCGAAGCCUAUUGUCUGCUCACACCAAUCGACAGAUGCAACGAGCGGCCAGCGCGGCGGCAGAACAGGGUGGAAAGAACGACGCCGUGGGAGGCUCGAUCGAGGGAGGGAGGGAGGGGGGAUUCUAGAAGGUUCUCACCUCGGCCAUCUCUCGUCGCGAUUGCGAGACCGGUGAGGCGCUGUGGCAGAGAGGCGGCGCCCAGGAGAAGACGAGGACGACGAGGUGGAGGGACGUGGGCCCGAUCAAGCUUUUCUUUGAGAGGGGGGGAGCCGCUCAGCCGCGUGACAAAAAAAAAACUUUUUGAGUUACGCCUUCGCGUGACAAACAAUAGGUGGGCCGCGAGCCUUUGUUAGGUUGGGCCCGUGGGAGGGAAGCCUGAUAAUAGGGGGCAGGCCUACGAAGGCCCAGUAGCUGUCAACUGGACAAGCCCAUCACUUGCACUUAUCUCAGCGACGUACGAGUAUGAAGACACUUUCCUUUUUCUUUCUUCUUUUGGAUGGAUGGAAGACCAGUCACUCACUUCUUGAAGAGUCAGGGGUAAUCUUGCAGGCAACUGUUACAAAAAUUCUCCGAGAAAAAUCGUGUUGUAGAUCAUGGUGUCGCGUAGCAUCCUUUGGCCUGGGCAACGGAAAGUAGCAUAAACUUUUGUUUUAAGAAAAGUAGCAUGAAGUGAGUGGAUCCUUUUGACGGUCGAGCGAGCCUAAACCAAAAAUGGUUGCGCCAUACCUCCACCACGAGAUGUUUUUUGUUUGCAGGUGUGCUGGCCCACAUCCUACACGCAAAGGAAGUUCGUGGUGAAAAUUCUAACGACCCGAGACGCACGGCGCCCUCUCCGUGCUCUGUGAUGCUGUAGUCACAUGCUUCCGUCCAUCUGAUUUAAUUUGUAAUGCGUUUUCAGUUCAUCGUAUUAAUUCUUUCGGUUUUCAGUUCCAUCUGCUAUGAAGCCCAAACAUGCAAAGCGACAGGUUCAGUUUCUCCACGAGCUACGGUGAGAUAGAUGUGAUUAUCCCGAUGCGAUGAGCCUUUCACUUGCCUCCCCCUGUGCAGGGAACUGCAAGAACUGUGCUGCGCCGCGCUUCCCGCGCGCCAUUUCUCGCCGACACUGGCGCAGUGACACGGCAGCCGGCAGCCGACCACGUCUGAUGGAUGCAUGCAUUAUGUAAAAAAAAAAAAAAAUCGCGUGGUUGAGCCGUCGGAGUCUCGCAAAUCCGAAUCUGCUGCCGGGGGCUCACGUCGGCCCGGGAUAUGCUCUCCCAAGGCAUCCCGAUCCGGCGUGUGAAAGCGACGGCAAGUACUAGCAGCCUCUCGAUCCUUUUCAGAGAUGAUGGAUCGGACUCUGAAGAGCCAAUUGGACCUCUGCUUCUCGAUAAGCUCACCUGUGAGGCUGUGAGCCCGUGUGACCUACGGUGCCACUGCCGUCCUGCUCAUCUUUUUGUCUGAACGAAUGGUGAUACAGUAGCAUAUCGGCGUCCUGUUCAUCUUUGUUUUCCUUCAGGGGAGUUCAGAUAUGAGGAGGUACUAUUCCUUUGUAAAAAAUCAUCACGUCGUUCUCCUCUGGGAGACUGGGAUACAUGCAGGGAUGCGGAGUAAGUACUGUAUCUAGUAAAUACAGUCAAGCAACAGAGCUUAACUCCGAAUUUCUUUUAGAAAAAACCACACACACAGCUGAACUAGCAGACCAUUUGAUCAUUCAUCGGUCAUCAUCAGGCUAAUGGGAGGCUAGCAUUGCCCGCGCGAACUGGUGAUGCUCGCUUCAGCAACCCAGCUAUUUUUCCGAACGGGACAACCCAGCUGACUGGACCAUGCCACGUUAUCGGAGGAGGAAAAAAACAUGUAAUCCAGCGAGACAGCACAUGCUUGGAUUCUACCCGUUGUGGUCAGAAUUCCAGCAUCCGAAGGAACUCUGCGUGGUCAUUCAUUCCAUUACUCCGCGUUUGGACAUUCUAGAUUUCUAGCACAAGUUUAGUAGAAGGGGAAAUUGGCGUGUACGCUGCGGCAUCCUGGCAGCAGGAACGGCAAAUUUUGACCAACUAGUUCCCAUGUCGACAAAAGACUGGCAACCACCAGGAAGAAAAGUAGCGAUACUGAAACAUCAGGAGCAGGUCAUCAUCUGCUCGCCUGGGCUGGCGAGCAGAUCAGAGAGAUAUCAUCAAGAAAACUAAUACCGGCAGUACUAACAAAUUAUUAGGGUUCCUUGCCCUGACCAGCUAGCCAGCUCGCUAAUCCCGUCAAAGCUCCACCUUACCCCAUGCAUGUUGCGAUUUCCCGGAUCCUUUUUAUCACUUGUCCUGUCCUUCUUCGCGUCCGCGUCAUUUUUAUCCAUUUGCGGCCGAGCGAGGCAAGAAAUUACGGGAAAGGCAAGCGCUGGGGCCCGAUUCUCUGUUCUCUGAAGAAACCAAGAACAUGGAGCAAAACUGCAAAAGGACAGAGAAACCCUGCGUUCCCGGGCGGCCAAAAAAAAAAAAAGCAGGAGAGCACAGUGAACGGAGGCAACUUGGACAAGCGUAUCUAGCUGUCCAAGGCGGAUGGGGACAAAGAACAAGUGGCGAGAGGAAUCAUGGACCAGAUCGCUGUCACAGGGGGCGGGGCUAGCUAAAUGCACUGGAGAUAUCGUCAGGCCAUGUCUAUCUACUGCCUGCCCGCCUCCGUCUGAAGUCUGAACUCCAUUGACGGGCUCAAGUGACGGCGACGAGUCCCGCGGCCCGGAUUGUUGGAAAGAGGCAUGGCGAUCUCGCCUCCGCAUAAAAUUCGUGUGCCUUUUGGCCUGCACAGCACCCCCCGGGUGAAUGGGUGAUGCGUUUCCUGCCGUGCAGGUGUGCAGUCCGCGGAUAAGCGUUGUGCCGUGAGAUCUUGGUGCCCGACGAUGUCGGAUUGCGUGGACGCCCCUCUCCUUUUCGCUUUUCUUUUCUUCACGGGCGGCGCGGAAGCGGCUGAGGGCCCGUGCAGGCGGCAGGCGCGGUGCGUGCAUCUCCCGCGGUGUGCGUGCAGUGCGAUUGCGAAUAACAUGUCACAGUGCGCCACUGAAGGAGAUGUCAAGACCUUGGGUCCGAUCCCAAAGGUUGAACUUCCUCUGAAGAUUGUAAAAAAACCAAGCUGGAAAUGUAGAGUUACUUAUUACCAAAAAAAGGCUACAAAGUUGGGUGGGAUUAUAAUAAACCAGUGUAUCUUUUUUUCAUACCGUGUCGAAUUCCCAUAGAUGUACUAGUUCGAAACAUUUUGCCGUUUUGGACAUAAAAAUUAACAGUCUCCAAUAAAUACUUUGGUUUUGCUAUUAUUUACGUACAAAAAUAUAUUUAUAAAAUCCAAAAAAAUAAUGUAACUAGGAAAAAUAUUUUCUCAACACGUAAGUCCUAAAUUAUAAGUCAUUUUAAGUUUUUUUAUUUCAUAAUUUUUACUAGACAUAAUAUAUAUGUAGAUGUAUAUCAAAACCUAUGAAUCUAAGAAAGUCAAAACAACUUAUAAUUUGGGACAAAGGAAGUAUUUAAAAAAUAUGAGCGGAUCUUGUCCAAACAUAUACUUGUGAUUAGAUGGAGAUUUUAGUAUCCUCUACAUCGACCAUUGUUGUCCUUGAUCACAUGAUGAAGGGUGUUCCCUGCUUCAAGUCCACCUGCCAUUGAUGCUUGCUAUAUUGCAACCGUCGUAUUUUCAUGUUUCGCUUAUUCUUCUGUUGUUCAAUAUCUGAUGAACUCAACACCUCAUGAGUCACGAGUAGGGAUUGAAAAGCAUACAUCUUCAUCAUUUUUUGUUAUUUUUUUUCUUUUACAUAGGAUUUCAAGAAAGGGACAACAUAUGCCUCUAAUUUCGCUCCAUUUCCAUAACUUUAUUUAUUUGUUCAUUGGUUCAGUGGUGAAUGGAGGCAAAAUAUUUUAAUGACUAAAACUUUAGACACGGUAAGUUUGUAACUUUUUAUAGUGGCAUACAAAUCCAAAAGAAAAAGGAGAAAAGAAAAGAUAGUAGAAUUUGAAGACUUUUAGUAGAUGGCAUGAAACAAGAUGAAAAAGAAGUCCGUUGCCAGCCGCUCAGCCUCCACGAGGCCACCGCGAAGCUUCCCCAAAGCCACCACGCCUAGUCAGCCACCAGUAGGCCUGCGUUACUCCCUCCGACACGCGGGGUCCACCUGUCCGAGCCUCGACCCCUCCCGAGUCCCAGAGGCGGCUGGAGUACCUCCCCCUCCCUACACGCGGUCCACCGUGGCCCAGGCCUUCACGGCCGCGAAUCCCGAUCGUGGCGGGUCCCACCAACCCAACUAGCGGCCCGGGGGGCCUCCACGCGAGCACGGGUCCAGGGGAACGGGUCCGCCCAUGUACUUGGCGGCCACGGAAACCCGGACCCGGUAGGCGGAGCUAUAAAGCCGGGCCAAAUCAGGGCAUCCCUUCCCCAGCCGCACGCUUCUUGUUGCCAAAGAAUUUCCUCCCUCGCCGCCGCCGCCGCAGCUCGUCUCGUUGAGAGAAGCUAACGGAGCCGAGGAACUCGCUGAGUUCUAGGAGAGAAUCCUUUUCGCUGGUCUCUGCCAGGUUCUGCUGCGUCGGGAGGCGGUGAAGGGGGGAAAUUCGUGAGAUCUGUUCCGGAUCACGCGUGCGCGCUCGGGAAUCGGGGGGUUCCACACAUAGCUUCGUUGAAUUGUAAGUUUCACCUGGCCUAUUCCCCUUUUAGCCUGCUUUAGCUUGUAGAUUUUAGAUUUAUUCUGCAUGUUAUGUGUUGUUAUCUUUUUUUUUCUGGCGACUAGAUUUGAUUUGCUAUUUCUGUGAGGAUUAGUGCUUGGAAUAGGUUUGUUUUGUGAUUACUUGAAACUCGAUGGUAGGAGAAGUACUGUUUACUUUUAUUCAGAUUUCGAUACAUGAAUAUGAAAUACAGAUUUAUGCGAGUACUCAAAAGAUUUGAGUUUGCGUCUUUAGGAAUUUAUUGAGGUCGUACAAGAUUAAUCUUUGAUGAUUCUUACAGAUCUGCGAUUAAAAUUGCUUCGUUAGUGUGAAUAUUCCACCCGUUUGGUUACAAUUUGUUGGAAAUAUUCAUUUGGCCAAAACAUUCCCUAUACUCGGUAUAAACCUGGUAUGUUGUGAUGUUUUCUUGUAACAGUAGCUCCAGCAUGAAUGGUUGACUUCCUUGCCUAACUUCUGAUGUUCAUAAAAAGCAGAAAAAAUGUUGUUAGAAAUUGUUGAUGUAAUGGACUCAUUAAUUUUCCCAUUCCUGCAGGAAUUUGAUGUACUAAUGGAGUCUAAGGGUGGCAAGAAGUCUAGCAGUAGUCGUUCCAUGAUGUAUGAAGCUCCCCUUGGCUACAGCAUUGAGGACGUUCGACCUGCCGGAGGCGAGAAGAAGUUCCAGUCUGCUGCUUACUCCAACGUAAGAAUCAAUAAUCAUUGUUAUACUCUUCAUUCUACUUUUGUUGUUUCUGAUUUGUUGCUAACAUUGUCUUUUUCUACUGCAGUGCGCGAAGAAGCCAUCCUGAUAUCCCUUCCGUGCUUCCCCGUCCUAGUAGUUUAGGAUUUCUUUUCUAACGCUUUGAUUCUGACCAAUCUCUCUGGCCUGCUGCUUCCUGAUAAUCGACCAGUUCUCGAGUCUUGCUCCCUGCACUCCUCCCUCCAUCUCCAGCAUCGUUUUCUCACUCACCCGCUCCAAUGGCUGUUCUUUCUGCUGCUGACGCUCACCCGGUCUCAGCGAUCGGGUUUGAGGGCUAUGAGAAGCGCCUUGAGAUCACCUUCUCUGAGGCGCCUGUCUUUGUCGACCCUCAUGGGCGUGGUUUGCGUGCCCUUUCCAGGGCCCAGAUUGAUUCUGUUUUGGAUCUUGCACGGUGCACCAUCGUGUCCGAGCUCUCCAACAAGGAUUUUGACUCCUAUGUCCUCUCUGAGUCGAGCCUGUUUAUCUAUCCUCUGAAGAUUGUCAUCAAAACAUGUGGGACUACCAAGCUCCUGCUCACCAUUCCAAGGAUUAUUGAGCUUGCUGAAGAGCUGUCUAUGCCGCUUGCUGCUGUGAAGUACUCCCGUGGGAUGUUCAUCUUCCCCGGUGCACAGCCAGCCCCCCACAGGAGCUUCUCUGAGGAGGUUGCUGCCCUUAACCGCUACUUUGGUGGCCUGAAGUCUGGUGGUAAUGCUUAUGUGAUUGGAGAUCCUGCAAGACCUGGACAGAAGUGGCACAUCUACUAUGCCACCGAGUACCCAGAGCAACCCAUGGUUAACCUUGAGAUGUGCAUGACUGGUCUGGACAAGAAGAAAGCUUCAGUCUUUUUCAAGACUUCUGCUGAUGGCCACACAACGUGUGCCAAAGAAAUGACCAAGCUCUCUGGUAUCUCUGAAAUUAUUCCUGAGAUGGAGAUCUGUGAUUUUGACUUUGAACCCUGCGGCUACUCCAUGAACGCUAUCCAUGGCUCUGCUUUCUCCACCAUUCAUGUGACGCCUGAGGAUGGUUUCAGCUAUGCCAGCUAUGAAGUUAUGGGCUUCGACGCCACUGCACUUGCCUACGGCGACCUCGUGAAGAGGGUCCUCAGGUGCUUUGGCCCUUCGGAGUUCUCUGUUGCUGUGACUAUCUUUGGUGGGCGUGGCCAAGCCGCGACAUGGGGCAUGAAGCUUGAUGCUGAGGUUUACGACUGCAACAACAUGGUAGAGCAGGAGCUGCCCGGUGGUGUGCUUAUCUACCAGAGCUUUUCUGUUACUGAAGAUGCUAUUGUUGGCUCGCCCAAAUCUGUUCUUCAUUGCUUCGAGGGUGAGAACCUGGAGAAUGCUGCUCCUGUGAAGGACGGCAAACUGGCUAAUCUUCUCUGCUGGGAGGAAGAGGAUGCCAUGGAGGAGAAGGACGGCGUGCUUGCUGAGUAAGACUGGGGAAGGUGUCGAUUUGCUGCUGAGUUAUUUUUUUUUUCUAAAUGUUGCGAUUGUCGUUUGGUUAUUGUGUGAAGCAGCCAAGCCAGGCUAUUUAUUAUGAAAAUGAUCGAUUGUAAGCAUGGGUUCUGAUGUGCCACAUGCUAAUGAUCAAUCUGAAUAAGUAUACCGCUCUAGGUGGUCAGCUGCGUCUACCACAAUGAGCAUACGUAUGGAGAAAUGUCUGUCAAAGCAAUUUAUGAAUAAGAUUUAUUUGAGUUGAAUGAUCGGUUUCUUGGUCUUAAAUUUCAAUGUUGUUUGUAUUUAUCUGAUAAUUCUAAUUUGAGUGCUGCUGGAGAAUGAGGAAGAUGAAAGCGUCACAUUCAUACCCUGGUUACAUCUCAUGUAUCCCUGAUACCACUCACUUGUAAUAGAUCUUGUACGAUUCAUCCAUGCCUAAUUUCUCAUGCUCAAAUAACAGAUGUCUUUGCUUCU
rnacentral:lncRNA from 1 species